rnacentral:misc_RNA from 1 species
AAGGAUCAUUACAGAAAGUAAACGCGGAUCAAACCGCGAACUUCUAAACUUUUGACGAUUGACUCAUGUUGCCUCGGCGGGUUCUCCCGCCAGAGGAUACAUCGAAACUCCUGUUUUAACGGUGCUGUCUGAGCUAUAAGCAAACGAAUCAAAACUUUCAACAACGGAUCUCUUGGUUCUGGCAUCGAUGAAGAACGCAGCGUAGCCACACCGAUGUGGAAGUAAAAGUCGUAACAAG